AGAGGUUAUUAUGAGGAGGUUAUGUGCGGAAUGAUAACAACCAUCAGUUUUAAAUGAACGGUUCAGAUUUAAGUAGGAAGUUUUUUUACAAUCGGGUUAAAAUUACCCAUCACAAAAUGAGCAACCCGGAACUUCUCUCUCAUAUCUCCUAUUUUCUUUGAAACAGAGGUCCAAAGUCCUACGUCUGAAACUUCCUCUGGAGACAAACAAGAGCUGCCCCUUUCCAACUUCCAGAAGCCGAAUUUGCUGCUCCAAAAAGAAAAAAAAACGAAGACACUCAGCUGUGGAGGACGUUGCUGAAGAAGAAGGAACAAGGGUUGAAACCCACAACUCAAUUCUUUCACUGAAAAUGGUUCAUCAUUACCCAUUACAUCAACUAUAACCUAAGAUCUCUCUUAUUCUGUAACCUCUUCCUCUUCUCCCUAGUCUCUUUCUCUUCCUUCUUCAAACCUCACAGAAAAUCCAUUUCCAUCGUAGAAUCUCGCUUAAUUCAAUUUUCACUUAGUUAUAUCUUCAAACUAAGAGCUAAUUUGAAUCUUAAGGUUGAACCCCAAAUUCAUAAUCGAACCCUAGCCAAGGUGCGACUCGCCACCUCCGUCGUCGGCCUCCAAAACGAAGCCAUAAUCGUGACUCUCCACCUUCGUCGUCGACUUCCACCACAAACCUCAUCUUCGAUCUUCACUGUGAUGGAAGAUUGUCUUGUUUCAAUUGGCGGCGUUCUUUUGGGUAG